CCUACGGGAGGCAGCAGUGGGGAAUAUUGCACAAUGGGGGAAACCCUGAUGCAGCGACGCCGCGUGAGUGAAGAAGUAUUUCGGUAUGUAAAGCUCUAUCAGUAGGGAAGAAAAUGACGGUACCUGAUUAUGAAGGCCCGUCUAACUACGUGCCAGCAGCCGCGGUAAUACGGAGGGGGCAAGCGUUAUCCGGAUUUACUGGGUGUAAAGGGAGCGUAGUGGGCAGCACAAGUCUGGAGUGAAAUGCCGGGGCUUAACCCUGGAACUGCUGUGGAAACUGUGCAGCUAGAGUGCAGGAGAGGUAAGUGGAAUGCGUAGUGUAGCGGUGAAAUGCGUAGAUAUUAGGAAGAACACCAGUGGCGAAGGCAGCUUACUGGACUAUAACUGACGUUGAGGCACGAAAGCGUGGGGAGCAAACAGGAUUAGAUACCCGUGUAGUC
rnacentral:rRNA from 1 species